UACGUAGGGUGCAAGCGUUGUCCGAAAUUAUUGGGCGUAAAGAGCUCGUAGGCGGUUUGUUGCGUCGGCUGUGAAAUCCCGAGGCUCAACCUCGGGUCUGCAGUCGAUACGAGCAAACUAGAGUGUUGCAGGGGAGACUGGAAUUCCUGGUGUAGCGGUGAAAUGCGCAGAUAUCAGGAGGAACACCGGUGGCGAAGGCGGGUCUCUGGGCCUGCACUGACGGCUCAUGCACGAAAGCGUGGGGAGCAAACAGG
rnacentral:rRNA from 1 species